GGGCGUAAAGAGCUCGUAGGUCGUUUGCCGCGUCGAUUGUGAAAAUCUGAGGCUCAACCUCAGACCUGCAGUCGAUACGGGCAAACUAGAGUGUGGUAGGGGAGACUGGAAUUCCUGGUGUAGCGGUGGAAUGCGCAGAUAUCAGGAGGAACACCAAUGGCGAAGGCAGGUCUCUGGGCCAUAACUGACACUGAGGAGCGAAAGCGCGGGGAGCGAACAGGAUUAGAUACCCUGGUAGUCCGCGCCGUAAACGAUGGGCACUAGCUGUGAGAGCCUUCCACGGUUCUCGCGACGCAGCAAACGCAUUAAGUGCCCCGCCUGGGGAGUACGAUCGCAAGAUUAAAACUCAAAGGAAUUGACGGGGCCCCGCACAAGCAGCGGAGCAUGCGGCUUAAUUCGACGCAACGCGAAGAACCUUACCAAGGCUUGACAUAUAGCGAAAAGUGGCAGAGAUGUCAUGUCCGCAAGGGCGCUAUACAGGUGGUGCAUGGUUGUCGUCAGCUCGUGUCGUGAGAUGUUGGGUUAAGUCCCGCAACGAGCGCAACCCUCGUUCUGUGUUACCAGCAUUCAGUUGGGGACUCACAGGAGACUGCCGGGGUCAACUCGGAGGAAGGUAAU
rnacentral:rRNA from 1 species